rnacentral:rRNA from 1 species
UGUAACAAGGUCUCCGUUGGUGAACCAGCGGAGGGAUCAUUACAGAGUUGAAAAACUCCAACCCUUGUGUAUCUUACCUUCGUCGUUGCUUCGGCGGCAAAGAUGCCCCCCUCCGCGGGGGCUACGGCGCCGCCGGAGGUUCACAAACUCUUGAUUUUUAGUGUAUCUCUGAGUUUAAAAAAUAAUAAUCAAAACUUUCAACAACGGAUCUCUUGGUUCUGGCAUCGAUGAAGAACGCAGCGAAAUGCGAUAAGUAAUGUGAAUUGCAGAAUUCAGUGAAUCAUCGAAUCUUUGAACGCACAUUGCGCCCGCCGGUAUUCCGGCGGGCAUGCCUGUUCGAGCGUCAUUUCACCACUCAAGCCCAGCUUGGUGUUGGGGCGCCCGGCCGCCGCCGCGCGGUCCCGGGGCCCCCAAGUCCAUCGGCGGGCUCGUCGGAACUCUGAGCGCAGUAACUCGCGGUAAAACGCGCCUCGCUCGGUUGGUUCAGGCGGGUUCUAGCCGCUAAACCCCCCUAAUAGUCUUAGGUUGACCUCGGAUCAGGUAGGAAUACCCGCUGAACUUAAGCAUAU